rnacentral:misc_RNA from 1 species
GCUUAGAAGAAAAGUGAGCUGUAUUAUUGUACAAGCGCUAAAUACAUGCCAGCGGGGAUGCUCUCCCAAAAGGAAUGUCUAUACAGACAAUAUGACAUGGUUUCUGUUUANNNNNNNUCAUAGAACCUUGGAACAACAUAAAAUGAUUGUAAGACAAGCAUAUCAUAUUGAGCUAAUCCAGCUGAAGCUUCAAGGAGAUGUGAAAGUCCUACCAGCAAGUCAGUAGCUACAGAAGUUGAAGGGUGGGAGCAUUGCGCAUGUCCUCC